UACGGAGGGUGCAAGCAUUAAUCGGAUUUACUGGGCGUAAAGGGCGUCUAGGCGGAAAGGUCAGUCAGAUGUGAAAUUCCGGGGCUUAACCCUGGAGCUGCAUUUGAUACUGCCUUUCUUGAGGGUAGGCGGAGAAAACGGAAUUCCACAUGUAGCGGUGAAAUGCGUAGAUAUGUGGAAGAACACCGGUGGCGAAGGCGGUUUUCUAGCUUAUUCCUGACGCUAAAGCGCGAAAGCGAGGGGAGCAAACAGG
rnacentral:misc_RNA from 1 species